AUUGAACGCUGGCGGCAGGCCUAACACAUGCAAGUCGAACGAGUGGCGGACGGGUGAGUAAUGUCUGGGAAACUGCCUGGUGGAGGGGGAUAACAACUGGAAACGGUAGCUAAUACCGCAUACCAUCAGAUGUGCCCAGAUGGGAUUAGCUGGUGGGUGGGGCAACGGCUCACCAAGGCGACGAUCCCUAGCUGGUCGGAGAGGAUGACCAGCCACACUGGAACUGAGACACGGUCCAGACUCCUACGGGGGGCAGCAGUGGGGAAUAUUGCACAAUGGGCGAAAGCCUGAUGCAGCCAUGCCGCGUGUAUGAAGAAGGCCUUCGGGUUGUAAAGUACUUUAAGGGGGGAGGCGUUACCCGCAGAAGAAGCACCGGCUAACUCCGUGCCAGCAGCCGCGGUAAUAC
rnacentral:rRNA from 1 species